rnacentral:rRNA from 1 species
GCGACCAUACCACUUUUGAAACACCGGUUCUCGUCUGAUCACUGAAGUUAAGCAACGUCGGGCCCGGUUAGUACUUGAAUCCGUGCCCAUAUCAGCCAGCACCUACUGGAGCACUCCAUGUUAAGUCC